UAUGUGCGCUGUUGUAAUCACUCUUGUGCAAAGUGCUUAAACUAAUUUUUAUUAGCAGUUCAAUCUAAGCCACUGGACUUUGCACUGAAAUAUGUCAAGAAUGGGCUUGUGUUUUCUCAGUCCCUCUGGGCAAGAAUAAAGUUCAAGACAAAAGAAGGAGGAACAUAAUAAAAUGUCACCCGAAGUGGCCUUGAACAGAAUUUCUCCAGCACUUUCACCCUUCAUUUCCAGUGUGGUCAGGAAUGGAAAAGUAGGACUAGAUGCUACUAAUUGCUUACGGAUUACAGACUUGAAGUCUGGCUGUACAUCCUUGACCCCUGGACCCAGCUGUGAUCGUUUUAAACUACAUAUCCCUUAUGCAGGAGAAACACUCAAAUGGGAUAUAAUUUUUAAUGCUCACUAUCCUGACCUACCACCAGAUUUUAUCUUUGGAGAGGAUGCUGAGUUUUUGCCAGAUCCUUCUGCCUUGCAUAAUUUAGCUUCCUGGAAUCCUUCAAACCCUGAAUGCCUCCUGCUUGUUGUGAAAGAGCUUGUGCAGCAGUAUCACCAAUUUCAGUGCAGCCGACUACGGGAGAGCUCUCGCCUCAUGUUUGAGUAUCAGACUUUACUUGAAGAGCCCCAGUAUGGAGAAAACAUGGAAAUCUAUGCUGGCAAAAAAAACAACUGGACUGGAGAAUUCUCGGCUCGCUUCCUCUUGAAGUUGCCUGUUGAUUUCAGCAAUAUUCCUACAUACCUUCUCAAGGAUGUGAACGAAGACCCUGGAGAAGAUGUUGCACUUCUCUCCGUUAGUUUUGAGGAUGCAGAAGCUACUCAGGUUUUUCCUAAGCUGUACCUCUCCCCUCGUAUUGAACAUGCACUUGGAGGAUCCUCUGCCCUUCACAUCCCAGCCUUUCCUGGUGGAGGCUGUCUCAUCGACUAUGUACCCCAAGUAUGCCAGCUCCUAACUAACAAGGUACAAUAUGUUAUUCAGGGAUACCAUAAGCGAAGAGAGUACAUUGCAGCUUUCCUGAGUCAUUUCGGAACUGGUGUGGUGGAAUAUGAUGCAGAAGGAUUCACAAAGCUUACUCUGUUGCUGAUGUGGAAAGAUUUUUGCUUCCUUGUUCACAUUGACCUACCCCUCUACUUUCCUCGAGACCAACCGACCCUAACAUUUCAGUCUGUCUACCACUUCACUAACAGUGGCCAGCUGUACUCCCAGGCCCAGAAGAAUUACCCCUACAGCCCCCGAUGGGAUGGCAAUGAAAUGGCCAAGAGAGCAAAGAGAAUUUAUGCAGGUCUUCUGAGCUUGGUAUAAGGUCAGUGUGAUACAGACCCACCAGGAACAUGGUAGAUGAAAGCCAGAGAAAGAAGGAUCUCCAUCUUUCCCAGAAAGGAGAAAGGCAUUGAUCAAAAGCAGAUUUUUGCCAUUUGACAGAGCCCCGAGAGACCAUAGGUCAAGUUAGCUUUCUUCAUCUUCAGUGUAAUUCAACAGGAAAUUCAGAUAUUGUAACACAUGAUUUUGUCCCAAACUUUGAAUGAAAAGAAAAAAUUGAGAAAAAAAAUUCCAGUGUUCAUUUCACUUACCUUCUCCUACUUCUCCAUCUUUCCUCCUCAAUCUACUAAAUAUGCUGUAGCUCAGCCUGUCCUAUCAGGUAUACUGGGUUUUUGGAUCUCAUAGCAGGGCCUUUUUUGGUUUGGUUUGGGGAGGUUAAGGGAGCAGUGUUAAUUUAUUUUUUUGUGGUACGUAUGAUGAACCAUAAUUAUCUCUGAUUUUGUUUCAUCUGAGAUACUUAAGUUAUAUGUGAGAGGGACAGAAAUGACUGUCCUAUUUCUGGAACAGAACCUGAGUACAUUUGUGGUACUGCAUUUGCUUCAGAUUGGAGAAGACCAAAAUGAUAUGGGCAACUUUAAGUAUGUACUUUAAGGUAUAAAAAGAAAAAAAAAGUAGACAUUUAAAAUUAUGAAGUACUAAAGGAAUGUUUGUAGUGUAUGGAACAUUGCCAAGAGAUUCAUAUGAACUACCAGUGUGAAAUAACAUCCUCUUUGAAAGAGUACAUCUGAUCAGAAUGUAGGGAGGUGUUAGACUUAGUUUUGCAGCAAAGGAUGCAAGCUCUCCUGCAGGAAUCAGUGAAAAGAAAGGAUGCAAGUGUAGAUAAAGUUGGUGUGGGAGGAUGUUUGUGGUAUCAUAAGCAUUCAUUCUGGAAUUUACCUAACAGAAAAGGCAUAUAUAAUUACUGCAUAUAAUGCACUAAGUGUGGGUUUAAUACAAAGUGCAGAAAUGCUAUAAAGGAAAAGAAAUAAAAUGUAGGAAAAUAGUUCUAAUUGUAUCCCAUUUAAUGAUUAAUUAUUUCUACAGUUUGGAAGAGGGAAGUUUCAAGUAACAUUUAUCAAGUCGAUUAAGAUCACGUGCAUGGAAGAGAGUCUGCAGAGAAGCUAUCAAAGGGGAAGGGAGAAGCUAUUUAAAAUAAGCAAUCAGAGAAGCAUAAUUAAAUGUUAGGACAGAUAAAGCAAGGACAAAUAAAAGGGAUAGCUCCUGAUAUUGACAGUGUGCAGGUGGUACUCCAUGAGCUAGCAAAACACGUAGAAUUAAACGGGACUUUAAAAAGCUACAGUUUCAAAGAUAUGGUAGGAAAAACACAGAUACAGAAAUGGCACUCAGCUGUUGAGAUCAGGGGACAGGCAGACCUUCUCAGCUGGUUUAUGUUCAUGUGUGUGCCAGCAUGAACAUUCACUUCUGCAGGCAUGAUUAUGAGUGUUGUUUUCUGAACUUUGCUUCAAUAAACCAAAGUGUGUUCUGUAAAUACACAGCACAAUCUGUAUAUGCUAUAAAAUGUGUGUGCUGGUUGUCCUCUUUAUUAUGGUUGUUUCCAUUUCUGAGAUCAGCUCCUCAGUCCAGAAAUGCUUUUACUUUCUAUUGCUCUUUUAACCUUUGGACAGCAUCUCAUAUGUAUUUAUGUCUUGUGCACAAAAGCUGACUGCAGCUAUCUGUAAUUAAUUUGCCAGGCAAAACAUCACAAAGAGAAAGGAGUGUUCUCUUCAUGGUCUUGCAAGGUUUUUAGGUGUGAGGAAGUAUGGUUGCUGUUCAGUGAUUGCCAAAGCUUCUACUGCAGUUAUGAAAAACAUCGUGAUUGUGAAGCUGAUCAGUGUGUGUUUGCUUCAGGAGGUAAACCAGCAGAGAUAUCAGGAAUCUAAUAAAUGACAUUGCAGCUAUUCUCACUUUAGAUUUCUUCUCAGUGAGAACAGGAGAGAAAUUUAUAGAGACCAGUGAUAGAAAUAGAAAACAAAU